rnacentral:rRNA from 1 species
CCUACGGGAGGCAGCAGUGAGGAAUAUUGGUCAAUGGGCGCGAGCCUGAACCAGCCAAGUAGCGUGAAGGAUGACUGCCCUACGGGUUGUAAACUUCUUUUAUAAAGGAAUAAAGUGAGGCACGUGUGCCUUUUUGUAUGUACUUUAUGAAUAAGGAUAGGCUAACUCAGAGCCAGCAGCCGCGGUAAUACGGAGGAUCCGAGCGUUAUCCGGAUUUAUUGGGUUUAAAGGGAGCGUAGAUGGAGUGUUAAGUCAGUUGUGAAAGUUUGCGGCUCAACCGUAAAAUUGCAAUUGAUACUGGCAGCCUUGAGUACAGUUGAGGUAGGCGGAAUUCGUGGUGUAGCGGUGAAAUGCUUAGAUAUCACGAAGAACUCCGAUUGCGAAGGCAGCUUACUAAACUGCCACUGACAUUGAUGCUCGAAAGUGUGGGUAUCAAACAGGAUUAGAUACCCGAGUAGUC